UUCCUACGGGGGGCAGCAGUGAGGAAUAUUGCGCAAUGGGGGCAACCCUGACGCAGCGACGCCGCGUGAGUGAGGAAGGCCUUCGGGUCGUAAAGCUCUGUCAAAGGGAAAGAAGUGCAUGGUGGCUAAUACCUGCCAUGUUUGACGGUACCCUUAAAGGAAGCACCGGCUAACUCCGUGCCAGCAGCCGCGGUAAUACGGAGGGUGCAAGCGUUGUUCGGAAUCACUGGGCGUAAAGGGCGCGUAGGCGGUUUGAUAAGUCAGAUGUGAAAGCCCACGGCUUAACUGUGGAAGUGCAUUUGAAACUGUCAGACUUGAGUAUCAGAGGGGAAAGUGGAAUUCCCGGUGUAGAGGUGAAAUUCGUAGAUAUCGGGAGGAAUACCGGUGGCGAAGGCGACUUUCUGGCUGAAUACUGACGCUGAGGCGCGAAAGCGUGGGGAGCAAACAGGAUUAGAUACCCCAGUAGUCCAG
rnacentral:rRNA from 1 species